rnacentral:tRNA from 1 species
GGAAGCGUGCCUGAGAAUUUAAGGACUACCUUGAUAGAGUAGCCACGGGAACUAUUAACCCCACUUCCC